rnacentral:sRNA from 1 species
UGCAGACUCAUUGGGAGCGAAGUGCCGAA